rnacentral:rRNA from 1 species
GAUUAACGCUGGCGGCGUGCAUAACACAUGCAAGUCGAACGAUGAAACUCAUUAGAUUUCUUCGGAAUGAAAAUGAAUGGAUUAGUGGCGAACGGGUGAGUAACGCGUGAGUAACCUGCCUUACACAAGGGGAUAGCCUCUGGAAACGGAGAAUAAUACCCUAUGAAACCAGACAAUCGCAUGAUAAUGUGGUCAAAAUGUUUAGUGGUGUAAGAUGGACUUGCGUCUGAUUAGCUAGUUGGUGAGAUAAAAGCUCACCAAGGCAACGAUCAGUAGCCGGCUUGAGAGAGUGUACGGCCACAUUGGGACUGAGACACGGCCCAGACUCCUACGGGAGGCAGCAGUGGGGAAUUUUGCACAAUGGGGGAAACCCUGAUGCAGCGACGCCGCGUGAUUUAGAAGGCCUUCGGGUUGUAAAAAUCUUUUGUAUAGGAAGAAAAUGACAGUACUAUACGAAUAAGGUCCGGCUAAUUACGUG